AUGACUUUCAUCAAAUACGGCUUUCCACAGAAUUCUAUAGGGAUCUAUGAGAUCGAGUAUGGAAUUUUUAAUCACUCUAAAUUGAGUAUCUGUUUUCCUCCUUUUCCCGCUAGGAUCGGAAAUCCUGUAUUUUCCAUAUCCAUACGAUCGAGUCCUUAG
rnacentral:rRNA from 1 species